CCCUUAGAUGUUCUGGGCCGCACGCGCGCUACACUGAUGCAUUCAACGAGCCUAUCCUUGACCGACAGGUCCGGGUAAUCUUUGAAUCUGCAUCGUGACGGGGAUAGAUUAUUGCAAUUAUUAAUCUUCAACGAGGAAUGCCUAGUAGGCGCAAGUCAUCAGCUUGCGUCGAUUACGUCCCUGCCCUUUGUACACACCGCCCGUCGCUCCUACCGAUUGGGUGUGCUGGUGAAAUGUUCGGAUCGGCCGUUUGUCGCGGUUUCCGCGUCAUGUGGCUGAGAAGUUCAUUCAACCCUCCCACCUAGAGGAAGGAGAAGUCGUAACA
rnacentral:rRNA from 1 species